rnacentral:rRNA from 1 species
UGGGGAAUAUUGGACAAUGGGCGCAAGCCUGAUCCAGCAAUAUCACGUGGAUGAUGAAGGCUUUCGGGUUGUAAAGUCCUUUCGGCAGGAAAGAUAAUGACGGUACCUGCAGAAGAAGCACCGGCUAACUCCGUGCCAGCAGCCGCGGUAAUACGGGGGGUGCUAGCGUUGUUCGGAAUUACUGGGCGUAAAGCGUAUGUAGGCAGUUUUAUAAGUUGAAUGUGAAAUCCCAGGGCUUAACCUUGGAAUUGCAAUCAAGACUGUAAGACUUGAGUGUGAUAUGGGAUGGCGGAAUUCCUAGUGUAGGGGUGAAAUCCGUAGAUAUUAGGAGGAACACCAGUGGUGCAAACGGCUAUCCAGGUCACAACUGACGCUGAGAUACGAAAGCGUGGGGAGCAAA